rnacentral:rRNA from 1 species
GAGCGGCGGACGGGUGAGUAAUACUUAGGAAUCUACCUAGUAGUGGGGGAUAGCUCGGGGAAACUCGAAUUAAUACCGCAUACGACCUACGGGAGAAAGGGGGCAACUUGUUGCUCUCGCUAUUAGAUGAGCCUAAGUCGGAUUAGCUAGAUGGUGGGGUAAAGGCCUACCAUGGCGACGAUCUGUAGCUGGUCUGAGAGGAUGAUCAGCCACACCGGGACUGAGACACGGCCCGGACUCCUACGGGAGGCAGCAGUGGGGAAUAUUGGACAAUGGGGGAAACCCUGAUCCAGCCAUGCCGCGUGUGUGAAGAAGGCCUUUUGGUUGUAAAGCACUUUAAGCAGUGAAGAAGACUCCGUGGUUAAUACCCACGGACGAUGACAUUAGCUGCAGAAUAAGCACCGGCUAACUCUGUGCCAGCAGCCGCGGUAAUACAGAGGGUGCAAGCGUUAAUCGGAAUUACUGGGCGUAAAGCGAGCGUAGGUGGCUUUGAUAAAGUCAGAUGUUGAAUCCCCGGGCUUAACCUGGGAACUGCAUCUGAUUACUUGUUAAGGCUAAGAAUAAGGUUGAAGAAGGAAAGGUAGAAAUUCCCCGGUGUAACGGUGAAA